CCCUUGGUUGAUCCUGCCGGACCCGACUGCUAUCAGAGUGGGACUAAGCCAUGCGAGUCAACAUAGCAAUAUGUGGCAUACGGCUCAGUAACACGUAGUCAACAUGCCCAGGGGACGUGGAUAACCUCGGGAAACUGAGGAUAAACCGCGAUAAGUCACUACUUCUGGAAUGGGUAAUGACUCAAAUCUACAUGGCCCCUGGAUUGGACUGCGGCCGAUCAGGCUGUUGGUGAGGUAAUGGCCCACCAAACCUGUAACCGGUACGGGCUCUGAGAGGAGGAGCCCGGAGAUGGGCACUGAGACAAGGGCCCAGGCCCUAUGGGGCGCAGCAGGCGCGAAACCUCUGCAAUAGGCGAAAGCCUGACAGGGUUACUCUGAGUGAUUUCCGUUAAGGAGAUCUUUUGGCACCUCUAAAAAUGGUGCAGAAUAAGGGGUGGGCAAGUCUGGUGUCAGCCGCCGCGGUAAUACCAGCACCCCGAGUGGUCGGGACGUUUAUUGGGCCUAAAGCAUCCGUAGCCGGUUCUACAAGUCUUCCGUUAAAUCCACCUGCUUAACAGAUGGGCUGCGGAAGAUACUAUAGAGCUAGGAGGCGGGAGAGGCAAGCGGUACUCGAUGGGUAGGGGUAAAAUCCGUUGAUCCAUUGAAGACCACCAGUGGCGAAGGCGGCUUGCCAGAACGCGCUCGACGGUGAGGGAUGAAAGCUGGGGGAGCAAACCGGAUUAGAUACCCGGGUAGUCCCAGCUGUAAACGAUGCAGACUCGGUGAUGAGUUGGCUUCUUGCCAACUCAGUGCCGCAGGGAAGCCGUUAAGUUUGCCGCCUGGGGAGUACGGUCGCAAGACUGAAACUUAAAGGAAUUGCCGGGGGAGCA
rnacentral:rRNA from 1 species